AAGUAAAAAGUCGUAACAAGGUCUCCGUUGGUGAACCCAGCGGGAGGGAUCAUUACCGAGUUUACAACUCCCAAACCCAAUGUGAACGUUACCAAACUGUUGCCUCGGCGGGAUCUCUGCCCCGGGUGCGUCGCAGCCCCGGACCAAGGCGCCCGCCGGAGGACCAACCAAAACUCUUAUUGUAUACCCCCUCGCGGGUUUUUUUAUAAUCUGAGCCUUCUCGGCGCCUCUCGUAGGCGUUUCGAAAAUGAAUCAAAACUUUCAACAACGGAUCUCUUGGUUCUGGCAUCGAUGAAGAACGCAGCGAAAUGCGAUAAGUAAUGUGAAUUGCAGAAUUCAGUGAAUCAUCGAAUCUUUGAACGCACAUUGCGCCCGCCAGUAUUCUGGCGGGCAUGCCUGUCCGAGCGUCAUUUCAACCCUCGAACCCCUCCGGGGGGUCGGCGUUGGGGAUCGGCCCUGCCUUGGCGGUGGCCGUCUCCGAAAUACAGUGGCGGUCUCGCCGCAGCCUCUCCUGCGCAGUAGUUUGCACACUCGCAUCGGGAGCGCGGCGCGUCCACAGCCGUUAAACACCCAACUUCUGAAAUGUUGACCUCGGAUCAGGUAGGAAUACCCGCUGAACUUAAGCAUAUCAAUAAGCGGAGG
rnacentral:rRNA from 1 species